rnacentral:lncRNA from 1 species
GAGGAAUCAGCAGGGAGCUGCAGGCAGGCCUGUUGGGUACAGAUGCUGCUCUACACACCGGCUGCUGAGCUGGGAUGAUAUAUUUGUGCAUGCCGUUGUUGUGAGCAAACCUUUCGAAAAUACAGCAGUGAUCCCAGUGCUUUUGAAUGAGGCUGCUGGAUGCUCUAGAUCAGCUUACAUCAGACCCCAUCUGCCAGGAUCACAUGCUGGUCCUGACCAACAGUGAGAGCAGAGGCAUGAAGCAAAGAUGUCCAGAUAUUUGCCAAGAUAUCAGCAUUUUUCCGGAAUGCUUCAGGUACAAAAGGACAACAACAACAAAAAAUUACUGCCUUACAGGCAUAAGUACAAGGCCAAAUUCCACCUCUUGUUUAGCUGAGCAGUUGCCAGCACAGCCAGCUGGGGGAAGGGAGAAGCCUAGCAAGACGGAUGGAAAGGCAAAAAAAUGUGGACAGAGAAGUUAG